rnacentral:rRNA from 1 species
GCUACCUGCAGUCGAGCGGAUGAGAGGAGCUUGCUCCUCGAUUCAGCGGCGGACGGGUGAGUAAUGCCUAGGAAUCUGCCUAGUAGUGGGGGACAACGUUUCGAAAGGAACGCUAAUACCGCAUACGUCCUACGGGAGAAAGUGGGGGAUCUUCGGACCUCACGCUAUUAGAUGAGCCUAGGUCGGAUUAGCUAGUUGGUAGGGUAAAGGCCUACCAAGGCGACGAUCCGUAACUGGUCUGAGAGGAUGAUCAGUCACACUGGAACUGAGACACGGUCCAGACUCCUACGGGAGGCAGCAGUGGGGAAUAUUGGACAAUGGGCGAAAGCCUGAUCCAGCCAUGCCGCGUGUGUGAAGAAGGCCCUCGGGUCGUAAAGCACUUUAAGUUGGGAGGAAGGGCUUACAGCGAAUACCUGUGAGUUUUGACGUUACCGACAGAAUAAGCACCGGCUAACUUCGUGCCAGCAGCCGCGGUAUACGAAGGGUGCAAGCGUUAAUCGGAAUUACUGGGCGUAAAGCGCGCGUAGGUGGCUUGAUAAGUUGGAUGUGAAAUCCCCGGGCUCAACCUGGGAACUGCAUCCAAAACUGUCUGGCUAGAGUGCGGUANANGGUAGUGGAAUUUCCAGUGUAGCGGUGGAAUGCGUANAUAUUGGAAGGAACACCAGUGGCGAAGGCGACUACCUGGACUGACACUGACACUGANGUGCGAAAGCGUGGGGAGCAAACAGGAUUAGAUACCCUGGUAGUCCACGCCGUAAACGAUGUCGACUAGCCCGUUGGGAUCCUUUGAUAUCUUAGUGGCGCACCUAACGCAUUAAGUUGACCGCCUGGGGGAGUACGGCCCCCAGGG